UUCGUAACCUUGGUCCCUUAGCGGGAUUAGGGACAGUGUGUGGUGGGUAGUUUGACUGGGGCGGUCUCCUCCCAAAGAGUAACGGAGGAGCACGAAGGUGCGCUCAGCGCGGUCGGACAUCGCGCAAAGAGUGUAAAGGCAAAAGCGCGCUUAACUGCGAGACCCACAAGUCGAGCAGGUACGAAAGUAGGUCUUAGUGAUCCGGUGGUUCUGCAUGGAAGGGCCAUCGCUCAACGGAUAAAAGGUACUCCGGGGAUAACAGGCUGAUACCGCCCAAGAGUUCAUAUCGACGGCGGUGUUUUGGCACCUCGAUGUCGGCUCAUCUCAUCCUGGGGCUGAAGUCGGUCCCAAGGGUAUGGCUGUUCGCCAUUUAAAGAGGUACGCGAGCUGGGUUUAGAACGUCGUGAGACACGUUCGGUCCCCCUAUCUGCCGUGGGCGUUGGAGAUUUGAGAGGAGCUGCUCCUAGUACGAGAGGACC
rnacentral:rRNA from 1 species